GUGGGGAAUCUUCCGCAAUGGACGAAAGUCUGACGGAGCAACGCCGCGUGAGUGAUGAAGGUCUUCGGAUUGUAAAGCUCUGUUAAUCGGGACGAAAGAGCCUAGUGUGAAUAAUGCUAGGAAGUGACGGUACCGGAAUAGAAAGCCACGGCUAACUACGUGCCAGCAGCCGCGGUAAUACGUAGGUGGCAAGCGUUGUCCGGAAUUAUUGGGCGUAAAGCACGCGCAGGCGGAUCUGCCAGUCUGUCUUAAAAGUUCGGGGCUUAACCCCGUGAUGGGAUGGAAACUACAGAUCUAGAGUAUCGGAGAGGAAAGUGGAAUUCCUAGUGUAGCGGUGAAAUGCGUAGAUAUUAGGAAGAACACCAGUGGCGAAGGCGACUUUCUGGACGAAAACUGACGCUGAGGCGCGAAAGCCAGGGGAGCGAACGGGAUUAGAAACCCGAGUAGUCC
rnacentral:rRNA from 1 species